rnacentral:rRNA from 1 species
GACGAACGCUGGCGGCGUGCUUAACACAUGCAAGUCGAACGGAGUGGCGAACGGGUGAGUACCAGGUGGGUGAUCUGCCUUGCACUUCGGGAUAGGCUUGGGAAACUGGGUCUAACACCGGCUAGUGCACGAUGGGCUCGCGGCCUAUCGGCUUGUUGGUGGGGUAAUGGCCUACCAAGGCGUCGACGGGUAGCCGGACUGCGAGGGUGUACGGCGACAUUGGGACUGAGAUACGGACCAGACUCCUACGGGAGGCAGCAGUGGGGAAUAUGGCACAAUGGGGGGAAGCCUGAUGCAGCGACGCCGCGUGGGUGAUGAAGGCCUUCGGGUUGUAAACUCCUUUCGACAGGGACGCGGUACCUGUAUAAGAAGCACCGGCUAACUACGUGCCAGCAGCCGCGGUAAUUC